GGGCACUUAGCUCAGCGGUAGAGCGGCUGCCUUACAAGCAGCGGGUCGGCGGUUCGAUCCCGUCAGUGCCCACCA
rnacentral:tRNA from 1 species